CACACAGUAGCGGUUUUUGAUACGGGCGGUUGCCUGUAUCAAAAAAUCGUGGUGGGGAUUAGUUGUCUUUGCUUAAUGAUUGGUUUUAGUCUUGACAAUCCUCAUUGCUGGCAUUGCAUCUUUCAAUGCCAGCAAUGCCAGGUAUCGGUGCUCAAGCCUUUUCUGUUUGUUUCCAAUAAGUUGCCCACCUCGGGAAACAAAUGUGUUCUUUUACUUGUCAGGUGAACAUAUGAGACACUUUGACUCUUCAGUGCAGUGUGGAGCCUAACAAAGAUCUGUUUUGUGUCCCAGCUGAUCAGCAGGAGAAGAGUCUGACGGAGCAGCAGAGGAACAUUUUCAGUUACUUGGACUCAGCUCAGCCACUACAGAGAAAACAAUGAGCUCAACACAGAAGGACCAACAUGGAGCGAGAAGUCAGCGCUCUCAGGAGGCCGACAAACCUCACAGAAGAAAGGGAGAGAAAAAACACACCUGUGACGAGUGUGGGAUGGGUUUUACUGUGAAGGCUUCACUAAAACAGCAUCAGGUCAUCCACACUGGAGAGAGACCGUUCAGCUGUGACUUGUGUGGAAAGUCUUUUUCCUGGAAGGGUUCCCUAAAAACACACCAACUCAUCCACAGUGGAGUUAAAGCGUACAGCUGUGAUCAGUGUGGCAGAGCUUUUACUCACAGUUGGAACUUACAGAAGCAUCUACUUACCCACUCUGGAAUUAAGGCAUACAGCUGUGACGAGUGUGGGAAGGAGUUUGCUAGGAAGGCUUCACUAAAACAGCAUCAGGUCAUCCACACUGGAGAGAGACCGUUCAGCUGUGACUUGUGUGGAAAGUCUUUUUCCUGGAAGCGUUCCCUAAAAAGACACCAACUCAUCCACAGUGGAGUUAAAGCGUACAGCUGUGAUCAGUGUGGCAGAGCUUUUACUCACAUAGCUACUUACAGAAUCAUCUAGUUACCCACUCUGGAAUUAAGGCAUACAGCUGUGACAUCUGUGGAAAGACUUUCAGCCAGAGAGGGUUCCUAAAUAGACACCUACGCAUUCACACGAGACAUGAUGUGUACUGCUGUGAACAGUGUGGCAAAGAGUUUAUAACAGACACACAGUUAAAACGACACAUGUUUAUCCACACUGAGGAGAGACCUUAUAAAUGUGACCUGUGUGAGAAGACUUUUAAAGCUCCACAUUACCUGAGAGAACACCAACAGAUCCACACCAGAAAGAGACUCAACAAGUGCAGUUACUGUGAGAAGCAGAGCGACACAGAUGGAUCCAGUUCUCAACCCUGUCAUCACUGUGGUGGUGGGAAAGACUUUCAUUGUGACCUUUGUGGAAAAACUUUCAGUCAGCAAAACACCCUAAAAAGACAUCAACGUAGACACACUGGAGACAAACUGAAAUACUGCAAAGAAUGUGGGAGAAGCUUCACCACACCAAGUGAGUUAAAAACACAUGAACUGAUUCACAGUGGGGUUAAAAAGCACCUCUGUGAUCAGUGUGGGUCAUCCUUCACCACUGCAUAUAAGCUUAAAAGACACAAACGAGUCCACACAGGAGAGAAACCAUACAAGUGCAGACACUGUGACAGAAGCAAAGCUUCUCAGAUUCAGGUAAUCGUAACUAUCAUGAACGUACACACAUGGAAGGAAACUACAGCUGUGACCAGUGUGACAAGAGCUUCAGGAAUCUCAGUUCAUACUCCACACACAAACGAUCCCACGUUACUAAUAAACUGUUUCACUGUUACCAAUGUGCCCAAACAUUCACCUCAUUGUCUGCUCUGUGCAAACAUCAGCGUGAUCACUCAGGGCUGAAAUCACUCCCAUCACUGGAUCACAGUGAAUCUGAAGAGACAGAAAGAUCCUCUGGUUUCAGUGUCAGACUCAAAAAGCUUGAGAUCAGGCUCCACAGAGUUCAGAUAGAAUCAUUUAAACUUGUGUUGAACUGAACUGGUUGCUGGGCUGAACUUCUACAUAAUACAGAUUUACAUGGGAUCUUAUUUUCUGUCGUUUUACUGAGUCAGUUUUGUCCUUUUUUCUCUGUCCUGGUUUUGCUCGUCUGUAAAUAAUUGAAACUCAGUCAAAUAGUUCAUUGUUCUCCAGCAAAACGUUUUGGAAACUCAUGUUUAACCUUUAAAACUCUGACAUGUUUUAGCACACAAGGCUUCAUCGGGGAGUUCACUCAUGAUUGGACCAUGAGAAUAAAGGUUUUUAGUUCUUUCAAAGAGA